AAUUGGGAGGAAGAAAAGUGUUCAAUUUAUAACCUAGGAUGAGUCGGAGGAGAGGUGGGGGGAGAUGAUGGCAAUUCUUAAAGGAGAGGGCCUUAAUAUGGUGACACUUUAAUCCUCAAAGGAAGUAAAGGACAGGGCAGGGGCAGGGAGAGUAGGUUGAAAGGUGCAUUAAGGGGAGACAACCAAAUCAAGGUACAUUGAUUGUAGUACACCAAAACAUAAAGAAGCCGGAGUAGCGGUAUCAGGUCUCAG